UACGUAGGCAGCAAGCGUUGUUCGGAGUUACUGGGCGUAAAGAGUGCGUAGGUGGUGCCCUAAGUCUGUUGUGAAAUCUCCCGGCUUAACUGGGAGGGUGCGGUGGAAACUGGGGUGCUUGAGUGUGGGAGAGGUAAGCGGAAUUCCUGGUGUAGCGGUGAAAUGCGUAGAGAUCAGCAGGAAUACCCGUGGCGAAGGCGGCCCCCUGGGCCGAACCUGACGCUGAGGCGCGAAGGCUAGGGGAGCGAACGGG
rnacentral:rRNA from 1 species